CAAUCUUCCGAAGGCUAGGAGGUAGCGUGUGCCAGGCUGGGUAACCGAAAAGGUCGUAAAAGUUACUGGAUAAGGGACCGGGCUCCCGCCCUAGAGGAGAGAAGAGCAGGCAAGCAGGCGGGUGCAGAUGACCUGUUAGAAAAGAAGUACAGACAUAUCGGGUAUUUCCAUAAGUAUCUGAGCAUGCAAAUUAUAUGUAAAUAAGUCCUUUUGCGUUAGCCACCGAGUUACCGUAAUUGCUCUCAGUGGCUUUUCCCCCUCCCCUGUUCCACAUGACUCUCUUAGUAAAUCAGACCGUGGGAUACACGCAGGGGACCCAGCCGGGAGAGGAGAAAGAGAAAGGGCGGGCGGGGAAGAUAGUCACCCUCAACACCCUUUUCCAAUUCAUCUUUAAGGAAGCUUCCAAGAUUACGCCCCUUGUCGCUUCGGAAAUGGCGCGGUCCAACCGCGUCAAUCUUUUCGCCGUUACCGGCGCGACUCGAGGCCGCGAUUCUGCCUCCGAGGUCACCACCUGCCUGGGUCCUUUGGCCUCCAGCCUCCGGACGUUGAUCUCUCCAGGGAGGGGCUGGACGGGCCUAAAUUGGGAGAGCAGCUGGGAGGGCCUAUGAAGUUGAAAGUGGCAGAGAGUUUCUCAGGACUUGAGAGAUGAUGGUCCACCCACCAGCGAGCCCCACUGCCUUGAGUACGUGGGCAGGGGCAGACCGGGCAGAGAUGAGGUGCUGCUGCAGGAGGAAGCGGGCGACUUCAACGAUGGAACUGAAGGAUCGUUUCAGGAUUCGUUCUGCCCAGUCACAGACACCAGUGUCAACCACAGCAAGACCAGACUGCAAAUGGGAGUAACUCGCCCCAGGAACCCACAAAUUCUCUUCACCGUCUGCCUGAGCCAUCGGAUCCAUCCUCCAGCCCCAACCUCUCCACUCAAGGAUACUUGGACUGGCCUCGGCCACCAAGCCUUCGGGCCUUGAUGUCAGGGAAGAUCUCUCUGAUGAUUUUGCCAAAGUUGGCGGUGCUGAGUGGGCGGCAACAGGCAAGACUCUCACAGUACUUCCUGAACUACCACUUCAGCAGUGCUGGACCAAAUCACUCGGCCCGGAAUCCACCUUUUCCAGGUCACAGAGAGAUGAACUAAGAUGCUCAAGGUCAAACUGGCAGCAAGUUGCAAAGCCAAUUAUCUUCUGACGGGGAAGACAACACUGCUUGUCCCACAGAAACCUUUCACUUAGGCAUACCCUCUUCCUCCUCCUCCCCGCUGCACCAACUCCAUCUCUCUACUGCCCUCUUCCCGAAAACACUCACCAGGAUCCCCUCGACUUUGUUCUGCACGGCCUUGCUGUGGAGGAGAGGAGAAAGCUGGAGGUCACACACAAGAUUUUCCCUGGUGUCUUACUGUUAGGGAGAGGAAGAGGGCUGAGAGGCCUGACAGGUGCUCAGCAACGGCUACCAUGAUGGAGAAUCUCCCAGUGCUCACAGGCACUUGCUCAGGGAGAGGCAGUUCAUCUACAGAGGAAGUGAAGUGCUACGGUUCUGGAGCAAGACUUGGAGGUGGUGAGGAGUACUUACGAAAUGGUACCUCGGAGCCUCUGAAGAAGGGUGGUGGGUUCUCCCGCCUCAGCACUACCUGAGGGGGGCCGUCCCCCAGUCUUGGGGCUCUUAGCGUCGGGUUCAUCUUCUGCCAUCCCGGCAUGAGGGCUAGAGUUGAGAGGAGACACGACAGGAAGAUUCAACCUCCCUUCCCCUGGAGCCACCCCGCCGCUCCCCAGGCGCUCCUCGUCUCCCUACCCAGAAACACAGAGAAACAAAGCCUCUGAAUGUCCUCAGUGGUCUUUUUUUCUCACCACUUGCCUUCUCCCCAAAUUAGAAAUGAUCCCAUUACUUCUCCAGGCCCAUAUAUACCCAAAGAGAUCUCUGCCACCUCCAUUCUAUCUGCCCCCCCCCCCCCCCCCCCCGCUUCCUGCAGUCUCCUGAGUGUGGAAAACUGUACAGGAAGAGAUAGGCGGGUUGGGAAUCCACGUUAGAAAUGUCCAUUUCUGCCUCUGGCCCCGUCCCGCCCUCACCCCCUUAAAAAACCAAAAACAAGAACCACCACAAAACAAAGUUCUCCGAUUCUCCUCACGCCUGAAUUUUCCUGGGAGGUCAGAAAGGAUACGAACAUACUCUGCCCUUGCAGGCUUGGAAAAAACUGGGCCCAAGUUCUCAUUACUUAAUCUCGCCACGGCUUCCCCCGCGGCUCCCCCUCCCCACGUCGCCGGUCCCUACGUCAUCUCCCUCAACCUCCCAUCCUGAGGCGCACCCCCACCUCCCUCCCUUCCCCCUGCAUUCAAUCCCGCGUUGCUGCAAGGUGGGAGGCUUCAGGGGGGCGAACUCCUGGGCUGGGCGUAGGAAACCCGGUUGGGGGAACGGGGUCCCGGAUUCGGGGCACGUGCACAUGGGCGAAGGAGCUGUUGAAAAUACGGCCACAAUCUUUUUCUGCUCUCCUCCCAACUCAUACUGUCCCCUCCCUACCUUUGAACAGUCGCCUUCCAACACAAGCAACAAUAAAGGUAAGGGAGAAAGAGAAACUACCUCGUAGCCACCUUCACUCCAGCCCAGCCCCACGGUCCUGGCCCAGCGGGCUCGUGCGUUGCUUUAUUUUCUUUUUUCUGAGUGGCUGGAGCAGUCCCGAUCUGCCUAGAGACUCGCGCGGCCUGUUCUCUCAUUGGUCGUUGCGGCCACCCGGAGACAGAAGGCGCCGGGCUCGCACCGGCGGCAGCUAAAGUCUGCCUGGUAACAGAUUCUGAUUGGUCAAUAGGGGAGGGAAAAUCCAAAGUUGGUCUUAUUUGAGUGAAGAGGGGGAAGUCCGGGUUAGGUUUCGGUUAAAACUGGGGUCGGUUGGGACUGCCGGUCCCGAGAGGUUCUUCUCUUAAAGGGACCGCAGGACGAAAGGCCGGGCGCUGGAGCUUUCUUUUCCUUUGCCCUCGUCUUCAGGGUUUCAGUUUUGCCUUCGGUUGUCAGAGCAACUGGAAGAAAAGAAUCAGUGGCUGAUAAAAUAACUGGAAAAUUAUGGGUAGUAGUGAUGGAGGUUCGCUGAAAGUUCACACCACCUCCUUUUGAUGAAAAAUAAAUUGAACACCCCACCCUCCCACCCCCGCCCUCAACACAGCCUACAGGCAUUCACAGCAAAUCUGCAAACACGGGCUCACGUUGCUCUCUGAUGGAGGCCUCAAAAUCUCAGCAGCUGUACCACAUUAAGUUAAAAUGCCAAGCGUUUCUUGGUUUCCCGUGGGUAUUUUAUUUCCUUCCGAAGAGUUGCUAAUGUAUUUGCAUACCUGUAGUUCUGCACUCGGUGAACACUGGAAUUUUGACUGACACCCCCAGGGGGUGCUGGAUGCCCACAUGAACUCUUGAAGAGAACAUUGUGCUGAAUAGGCCAUGGGUUGUUAACCUUUCGGUUACGGCUUUGUUUAGAUCGCGAGUCAAAUGAAAGCAGUGGACCCUCUGCUAUGAAAAAUGCACGUGAGGACUAAGUUUUGCAUCUAAUUUCAAAGGUGCCCAUGAAGGUCAAAUAAGCCAAUGUAUUCAGAAGUACUUUAAAGGAGAAGUGUUGUAUAAAUAUGGGAAGGACUGUGCCAGAAGCUGGGGACAGAAAUCCCAGGCAGUGGAACCUGCUGACUCGGUGUCUACAGAAGCCACUUUCAUCUUGGAUGAAAGCUAUGGGGUGAAGUUUUUAUUGGAUAGUGAAAGGGACGAAGUUUGGUCUCGAGACUGCCGGCGGAAAGAUCCAUGGUGUUUCCAAACCGGAGUGAAAGGAAGAACAAAGCUGGGCUGCGGUAUGACAGAUGAUGGGCAUCUGUCCUCCUGGUUCCCGUGGGUAAGGGAGCACCCAGAGGAAGAUGCUCUUUGGCUGCCCUUACCCCCUUCUCCUCAAUAUCACUCAACUCCCCUGACUCUUUCCUACAUCUGGGUCCUCACCAUCACGCCAUCAGCCAGGCAUGUGCCGCAGUCAGCCCUGUGGGUGCAGCUGUCCCCCAGGGGGUGGCCCAGGGGGCUGCUUCUUCGCCUGGGCUGGCCUCCCCAUCUGCUGGCUGUCUCUCCUCACCCUGCCUCCAGCCUGUGCCUCUGGCCUCCUCCUCCUCCUCCUCGGACCCCAUCUCAUACCUCCUCUACUUUCCUGCUUUGGGGCUUGAAGUAGCCUUACAACCAAGAUCUGAAAGAGAAAGAAAGCCCAUCCUCACCCCCUUGUCAAAAGUUCUGGGGCACCUGGGGGGCUCAGUCGGUUAACCGUCUGACUUCGACUCAGGUCACGAUCUUGUGGUUCGUGGGAUUGAGCCCCGCGUCGGGCCCUCUGCUCUCAGUGCUGAGCCCACCUCAGAUCCUCUGUCUCCCUCUCUCUCUCUGCCCCUCCCCCUUUUGCGUAUGUGCUCUUAAAGUAAAUAAACAUUUAAAAAAAAAGGUUCUUGAGUCAUCACC